CCCUUAGAUGUUCUGGGCCGCACGCGUGCUACACUGAGUGGAUCAGCGGGUCAGGUUACGCGAGAGCGCUUCCUAAUCUUCAAAUCCGCUCGUGAUGGGGAUUGACGGUUGCAAUUUUCCGUCAUGAACGAGGAAUACCUUGUAAGCGCGGGUCAUCAUCCCGCGCUGAAUACGUCCCUGCCCUUUGUACACACCGCCCGUCGCUCCUACCGAUUGAGUGGUCCGGUGAGGCUUUGGGAUCUAAGCGAAAAGAGCGUUUCGCUCCUUUUGCUGGGAGAACUCAGUCGAACCUUAUCAUUUAGAGGAAGGAGAAGUCGUAACA
rnacentral:rRNA from 1 species